GUCGACGGCAGCACGGGGGCAACCCUGGUGGCGAGUGGCGAACGGGUGAGUAAUACAUCGGAACGUGUCCUGUAGUGGGGGAUAGCCCGGCGAAAGCCGGAUUAAUACCGCAUACGCUCUACGGAGGAAAGGGGGGGAUCUUAGGACCUCUCGCUACAGGGGCGGCCGAUGGCAGAUUAGCUAGUUGGUGGGGUAAAGGCCUACCAAGGCGACGAUCUGUAGCUGGUCUGAGAGGACGACCAGCCACACUGGGACUGAGACACGGCCCAGACUCCUACGGGAGGCAGCAGUGGGGAAUUUUGGACAAUGGGGGCAACCCUGAUCCAGCAAUGCCGCGUGUGUGAAGAAGGCCUUCGGGUUGUAAAGCACUUUUGUCCGGAAAGAAAACCGCCGCCCUAAUAUGGUGGUGGGAUGACGGUACCGGAAGAAUAAGCACCGGCUAACUACGUG
rnacentral:rRNA from 2 species